rnacentral:rRNA from 1 species
UACGUAGGCAGCGAGCGUUGUUCGGAAUUACUGGGCGUAAAGAGUGUGUAGGCGGUGUUCCCAGUCUGUUGUGAAAUCUCCCGGCUUAACUGGGAGGGUGCAGCGGAAACUAGAAUGCUAGAGGGUGGGAGAGGUAAGCGGAAUUCCUGGUGUAGCGGUGAAAUGCGUAGAUAUCGGAAGGAACACCAGUGGCGAAAGCGGCUUCCUGGUCCAGCACCGACAUUCAGGCACGAAAGCGUGGGGAGCAAACAGG